rnacentral:tRNA from 1 species
GGGGAUGUAGCUCAAAUGGUAGAACGCUCGCUUAGCAUGCGAGAUGUACGAGGUUCAAUACCCUGCAUCUCUA